rnacentral:lncRNA from 1 species
CGACAUUUUGAUGUUGGAAUGCUUACAGAACACUUUGGUGUUAGAAUGCUUACAAGACAUUUUGGUGUUGGAACGCUCAUGGGGUACUUCUCUUGUUGCCACGACAAAAACCUGGAGGAAGGAAGGAAUGCUAGAGAGGAAGAUCUUGCUUCAGCCCAGGCUUUGAGAGGCUGCAAACUCAUCAUGGUGGAGGAACCAUGGCAGAGAUCUUGGAAGCUCUGAGCUGCGGCAUCAGGUUGCUUGCGUCCAUCUUGAUGGGCCAGGAAACAGAGAUAAGUUGGGCUGUGAACCUUAAGACCUCCUUUCCCACUACCAACCUGCUUCCUUCAGUGAGCUCCCAGCUCCUAAAGGUUCUGCAGCCUCCACGUAUGGUAUGGUGGCACCCAGUGGGGAACAGGAAGUCUAACACAUGAGCCUGCAGGGAGGAUUUUGCACUCACCAUAAAGGAAUGUUCAGGGUACACCAUUCUCUGUAAAUAAUCCAUAUGACUCUUAUACUGAUGGGGCUAUCCUUUCUUCCUGUCCAUCUUUCCAUCUUAAAAUGGGUCUAAUCCUCUCAGUACCUACUUACUUCCUGCAUCCAACAGGAGCGUUUUGGCCAUGCCAGUAAGCAAGCAGCCUAAUAGCAUCAAGCAAAAUAGAUUCUUGGCACAUCUCAUUUAGACCUCGGGAAAAGAGCUGGUGUCAAGUACAAUGUUGUUUGAGAGCAUGGAGGUCAUGGAGGCUGCUCUCCUGUCCUCAGUUUCCCCAGCUGUCUUCAGUAAAAUGGUUCAUUCUUGGAAUUUCCACUGGGGGUCAUGGUGGUACCUCCAUGAGCCAUCUUCUUAUGAGCCAGUUAAGUGGCGCAGAGGAGAAAACAGUUUGCUUCCUAAGCUUGCUUCUCAGUAAUGUUGACUGACUAAUUGACUAGUUGGCUCAUGUGGUCACUCAUGGGAUGGAGAAGUCUACACUCAUAUUCUAUUCUAGCCCACAUAUAUCAUGCCUGGAGCCUGG